CAGCCGCCGCGGUAAUACGUAGGAGGCAAGCGUUGUCCGGAAUUAUUGGGCGUAAAGCGCGCGCAGGCGGAUCGGUCAGUCUGUCUUAAAAGUUCGGGGCUUAACCCCGUGAUGGGAUGGAAACUGCCAAUCUAGAGUAUCGGAGAGGAAAGUGGAAUUCCUAGUGUAGCGGUGAAAUGCGUAGAUAUUAGGAAGAACACCAGUGGCGAAGGCGACUUUCUGGACGAAAACUGACGCUGAGGCGCGAAAGCCAGGGGAGCGAACGGGAUUAGAUACCCCAGUAGUCCCUGUCUCUUAUACC
rnacentral:rRNA from 1 species